rnacentral:rRNA from 1 species
AUACGUAGGUGACAAGCGUUAUCCGGAUUUACUGGGCGUAAAGGGCGUGUAGGCGGUCUUGCAAGUCAGAAGUGAAAUUCCUGAGCUCAACUCGGGCGCUGCUUCUGAAACUGCAGGACUUGAGUGCUGGAGGGGAUAGCGGAAUUCCUAGUGGAGCGGUAAAAUGCGCAGAUAUUAGGAAGAACACCGGUGGCGAAGGCGGCUAUCUGGACAGUAACUGACGCUGAGGCGCGAAAGCGUGGGGAGCAAACAGGAUUAGAUACCCUGGUAGUCCACGCCGUAAACGAUGAGUGCUAAGUGUUGGAGGGUUUCCGCCCUUCAGUGCUGCAGCUAACGCAUUAAGCACUCCGCCUGGGGAGUACGGCCGCAAGGCUGAAACUUAAAGGAAUUGGCGGGG